UAGGUCGAUCGAUUUGAAAACGACUCAGCCGGGCGAUCGUGGGCUAGUGGUCUGGUGCACUUUUUGUGACGAAGCAUUGCGACUAAAGCGAAUUUCGGUGGAAGUCGUCGUUUGAAGACAGAGCCGAGCGUUCUGCGACUAGACGGCGACGGAUACCGGUGAGACGUUUUAGAGACUCGAGAAGUCGUCCGUAAGGACUCGCGAAACUCUAGAGUCGGGUCGGUCGAAAUGUCUAUUCUUGCUCGCAGGAAUGGGCGCCACCCGCGUUCGUACUCUAAGGGUCGAGGCGAGAGACUUCGAAGGUUCGGCAAUGUCCGUGGCGGCCGCUUACCCGACCCGUCUUGAAACACGGACCAAGGAGUCUAACAUGUGCGCGAGUUAUUGGGCGUUUGAAACCCAAAGGCGAAAUAAAAGUAAAGACCAGUCUUUAAGGCGGUCUAGAUACGAUCGGCGAGGCUCGCUCGUCGCGGAGUAUCGUCCCAUCUAAGUGG
rnacentral:rRNA from 1 species